GAUGAACGCUGGCGGCGUGCCUAAUACAUGCAAGUCGAGCGAACAGACGAGGAGCUUGCUCCUUUGACGUUAGCGGCGGACGGGUGAGUAACACGUAGGUAACCUACCUAUAAGACUGGGAUAACUUCGGGAAACCGGAGCUAAUACCGGAUAAUAUUUUGAACCGCAUGGUUCGAUAGUGAAAGAUGGUUUUGCUAUCACUUAUAGAUGGAUCUGCGCCGUAUUAGCUAGUUGGUAAGGUAACGGCUUACCAAGGCAACGAUACGUAGCCGACCUGAGAGGGUGAUCGGCCACACUGGAACUGAGACACGGUCCAGACUCCUACGGGAGGCAGCAGUAGGGAAUCUUCCGCAAUGGGCGAAAGCCUGACGGAGCAACGCCGCGUGAGUGAUGAAGGUCUUCGGAUCGUAAAACUCUGUUAUUAGGGAAGAACAAACGUGUAAGUAACUGUGCACGUCUUGACGGUACCUAAUCAGAAAGCCACGGCUAACUACGUG
rnacentral:rRNA from 1 species